GUCAGCCCGGGCUCUGUGCUCUGGAAUCCAUACUUGAGUUCCAGGCCAGGGUGAUUUAUUGAAAUAUUAACAUUUGCUGGUUUUGCUUUUUUUCCUUCCCCCAUUCCAAGCAGGUAGCCAAGCCAUCUGUAUUUUCCUUGCCUCAGGGAUUUUUCCAGAGCAGAAAACAGAAGCAGCCUGAAGUCACUGGCUCUUCAGGUCUGUUGUGAAAGGAAACUUCUGGUGACUUGAGUAGAGGAGGAAUGUGGCCUUGGAAGGUGACACAAAAGGGGAGGGCUAGCUGCCUGAUCUACAGAGAUGAGCACCCCUGAGGCUCCCAGCAAGAGCGCCAUUUGUGCGUAUCUGCUGGUGUGUUUUCACUUUGAUCGAUUCCUUUUGGCUCCAACCCAUCCCCCGUUCAAACCAGACCCUGAGGGGAGCACUCCCUGGGAGCAGGAUGAUCAUUUUGUUACAAAGCAUGAUGGCCUUUGCCUCUUGCCUAUAGCCAUCUCCCUCUUCCUGUCCACACAGAGGGUUCCCGGGGAGGGUCACCCCACCCCAGCUCUCAGGGGGGAGAACUCUGAUUAAUGUAAGCCAGUCAAGGCCAAGAGGGGCCGGAGAACCCCAGCCCCACCCUUCCUGCACCUUGGCAGUCUUGUAGGGAUGUGGCAUUUCGGCCGCCAUCUGGAGGCCCCGAGAAGAAAGACAGAGAUCCUGACCCAGAAUUAGAACCAUCGUGAGCUGCGGAGCAAAGCCUGCAGUUGCCUCCCGUCUCUGCUCGUGUGCACUCAUGUCCAUCCUCUGCCCCUCUGUACUCUGCUGGCCUCCAGCAGACGGACCCUUAGGGGUGAGACUGCACGACAGCUUCCCGGGCCCUUGGCUUCCUGUUGGUGUCAGCGAAGGGGAGGCCCCAGAAGGAGCAGGGCCCAGAGAGGGGAGGAGAGAGGAGUCAGGUAUCUGUUCUCCGGGUUCCUUCCCUGAGAGGCUGCUGUGGAUUGGCUGCCUCCCUUGACAGAGGCCGCAGUUCCCUUCAGGUGGCCCUCCCUUUCUGAGUUCCAUAACUGCUCCGCCUCGUCCCUUCAGCUCUAGGUGUGUCCCCAUUGUUGCCAGGACCCUAGCACCUCACUAUCCUUUGUUGGUUUCUCUAAGCCCUGCCCACACCUGUGUAAAAAUUCCCUUUAUUAAAACUCUCCUCAAAUAACCCGAUUUGAGUGUGCCAUCUGUUUUCAGGCAGGAC
rnacentral:lncRNA from 1 species